rnacentral:lncRNA from 12 species
UAACAUUUCAUCAGCAAGGGGAGGGGGGUGGCUUUUCCCAGAAAAGGAGAUAGAUUUUUUUUUAAAAUCUAUUUCCUUCACUCCUUUAUUCACAUCUCGCUCUCUAACCCAUUGCCAUCUGGAUUCUGUCUUAAUCAGACCAAUAUGGCCAAGCUGUGGCUCCCGAGGAAAUACUAGAGUUGCUGUGAUUUUUCUCUUGAGCAGCUGAAGUCUAGCUAGUGCUGCCAGGGGAGCGUGUAGAGACCCUUCCCCAUCCCAGUGGCCUGCACAGCCAAGGCACCUGGACUGCCAGGACGCACCUCUCCUCUCUCCUCCUGCCAUAAAAUUCCUGGCAGAGAGCAAGAUGAAGCUCACUUCCCUCAAGUGUCAGAGGGGUAAGAUGUUAACUUCUCUUAUUCAAGGGGGAAAUGGACUUGAUUGACAGAUGAGAGAGAGCUGCUACUCAUUUACCCACCGAAAGAUAUUAUAUGGCUUUAAGCAGUGUUCAGGAGCACGAGAAGGCCCUCUGUGCAUGCCAUGCUUAAUAAAGGCAAUACAAAGGAGGCACCUCGCAGCAGGGCCUUUCCCAGAUGGACCUUUCUCGGUUGACUCCCGCUCUCUCCUUCUUGCCUGGGGUUUUGGAGCCGCUCUACUAACUGCAGCCGGGUUGGCUACGGAUUCGGAAAGCGCUGGGUCUGCAGCAGCCCCCGCCUGGGUCUUGGACCUGUCACCCAGCCAGGGCGCAGACCGCUGGUGGGGACGGAAAGUUAACGCGCCUCGUUACGGCUGA